CCUACGGGUGGCAGCAGUGAGGAAUAUUGGUCAAUGGGCGAGAGCCUGAACCAGCCAAGUCGCGUGAGGGAAGACGGUCCUAUGGAUUGUAAACCUCUUUUGUCGGGGAGCAAAAGACGCCACGCGUGGCGUUCCGAGAGUACCCGAAGAAAAAGCAUCGGCUAACUCCGUGCCAGCAGCCGCGGUAAUACGGAGGAUGCGAGCGUUAUCCGGAUUUAUUGGGUUUAAAGGGUGCGCAGGCGGAAGAUCAAGUCAGCGGGAAAAUUGAGAGGCUCAACCUCUUCGUGCCGUUGAAACUGGUUGUCUUGAGUGAGUUAGAGGUGGGCGGAAUGCGUGGUGUGGCGGUGAAAUGCAUAGAUAUCACGCAGAACUCCGAUUGCGAAGGCAGCAUACCGGCGCUCAACUGACGCUGAUGCACGAAAGUGUGGGUAUCGAACAGGAUUAGAUACCCGAGUAGUC
rnacentral:rRNA from 1 species